rnacentral:rRNA from 1 species
UACAGAGGUCCCAAGCGUUGUUCGGAUUUACUGGGCGUAAAGGGUGCGUAGGUGGCGAGGUAAGUUCGAUGUGAAAUCUCCGAGCUCAACUCGGAAAUGGCAUUGAAUACUAUCCCGCUUGAGGGUCGGAGGGGAGACUGGAAUUCUCGGUGUAGCAGUGAAAUGCGUAGAUAUCAGGAGGAACACCGAUGGCGAAGGCAGGUCUCUGGGCAUUAACUGACGCUGAGGAGCGAAAGCAUGGGGAGCGAACAGG